UUCACGUGAUGCCUAGCCAUGCUAAUACUGAGAGAUCUUAUUAAUAUUAUUAAUAAGGAUCUCGCUGAGUUGAAAUCACUUCAAUAAUAAACUGAUUAUC